rnacentral:pre_miRNA from 1 species
UUAACUCAAAUUUGUAUGGAGAUGGAACGUUUGCAUACGUUUGCCGCUAGGGGCGCUGUUCCAACUGCAUACAAAUUUUAAGUUA